rnacentral:snRNA from 1 species
AUAUUUAUUUUCAAAGCGUAAAAAUCUUUCACGUUUUACUAAGAUUCCCAUGGAGAGGAACAACCCUGAGUCUUUAGCAAUUUUUUGAGGCCUUGCAUUUGCAGGGCU